UCCGAGUUGACCCCGGCAGUCUCCUGCGAGUCCCCGCCAUUACGCGCUGGCAACACAGGACAAGGGUUGCGCUCGUUGCGGGACUUAACCCAACAUCUCACGACACGAGCUGACGACAGCCAUGCACCACCUGUACACCAGUGUCCAAAGAGACCCACAUCUCUGCAGGCUUCUGGCGUAUGUCAAACCCAGGUAAGGUUCUUCGCGUUGCGUCGAAUUAAACCACAUGCUCCACCGCUUGUGCGGGCCCCCGUCAAUUCCUUUGAGUUUCAGCCUUGCGGCCGUACUCCCCAGGCGGAGUGCUUAAUGCGUUAGCUGCGGCACAGAGAGGGUUGAAGACCUCCCCACACCUAGCACUCAACGUUUAGGGCGUGGACUAC
rnacentral:misc_RNA from 1 species